rnacentral:rRNA from 1 species
UUACGGGAGGCAGCAGUGGGGAAUCUUGCACAAUGGGGGAAACCCUGAUGCAGCGACGCCGCGUGAGCGAUGAAGCCCUUCGGGGUGUAAAGCUCUUUCGGCAGGGACGAUAAUGACGGUACCUGCAGAAGCAGCUGCGGCUAACUACGUGCCAGCAGCCGCGGUAAUACGUAGGCAGCGAGCGUUGUUCGGAGUUACUGGGCGUAAAGGGUGUGUAGGCGGUUCUUUAAGUUUGGUGUGAAAUCUCCCGGCUCAACCGGGAGGGUGCGCCGAAAACUGGGGGACUAGAGUGCGGGAUGGGAGAGUAGAAUUCCUGGUGUAGCGGUGAAAUGCGUAGAUAUCAGGAGGAAUACCGGUGGUGUAGACGGCUCUCUGGACCGCAACUGACGCUGAGACACGAAAGCGUGGGUAGCAAACAGGAUUAGAUACCCCGGU